AACGAACGCUGGCGGCAGGCCUAACACAUGCAAGUCGAACGAAGCCUUCGGGCUUAGUGGCGGACGGGUGAGUAACGCGUGGGAACGUGCCCUUUGGUUCGGAAUAGCCCCGGGAAACUGGGAGUAAUACCGGAUGAGCCCUUCGGGGGAAAGAUUUAUCGCCAAAGGAUCGGCCCGCGUUGGAUUAGGUAGUUGGUGGGGUAAUGGCCUACCAAGCCGACGAUCCAUAGCUGGUUUGAGAGGAUGAUCAGCCACACUGGGACUGAGACACGGCCCAGACUCCUACGGGAGGCAGCAGUGGGGAAUCUUAGACAAUGGGGGAAACCCUGAUCUAGCCAUGCCGCGUGAUCGAUGAAGGCCUUAGGGUUGUAAAGAUCUUUCAGUGGGGAAGAUAAUGACGGUACCCACAGAAGAAGCCCCGGCUAACUCCGUGCCAGCCGCCGCCGUAACAC
rnacentral:rRNA from 1 species